rnacentral:snRNA from 1 species
GCGCUUUGGCAGCACAUAUACUAAAAGUGGAACAAUACAGAGAAAAUCAGCAUGGCCCCUGCGCAAGGAUGACACGCAAAUUCAUGAAGCGUUUCAUAUAAAA